GCGUGUCUCACUGCCAAGUACUAGGCAGUUAUCUCAGUACCGGACCACCUUGCUGCCUAGCAUUACUCCACAACAACAGCAGUGACAGCAAUAACAAUAAAAAUAGCUCGAGUAACAGCAGUAUUAGUGGUAGAUAGUAACAACAGCAACAGUCUAAUGAUAAGCGGCAGAUGUAGCAAUAGAGCGGUGGCAGCUGCAGCAGGGAGACAGCAGUAGGGCGGCAGCAGAAGAGCGGGGGCGGUGACAGCAGAGCGGCGGCGGCGGCAGCAGCAGCAGCUGCAUGAGCAGCUGGACAGGGUCGGGUGGAGGCGACGGUGGCGCCGCGGGUGGCUGGCUAGGGAACCUUCACGAGCAGAGUCUCCUCCGCCAGGAUCGUUGGCGCAGUUUAACCCAACAUAUUUUGCCCAGUGUUUGUACCGUAUUGAUUGAGCUCGUCGCAUUAAUGACUGGACACAAUCGCCUUUUGUGGACCGUCUGGAAGUACAGAUAAAUAUGCAAACGACCCAAGAAGCAAUAAUAGGCCUAUGCCCGUACACCUAGGCCUACGCAAUCAAUACACGGAGACGGAACCCCCCUGCAAUAGACAGACAGAUGAACAGAAAGAGAGAGACGGAGGGAGGGAAGGAGGGAGAGAGGAGACAACACCAUCACCAGCAAUAACCCCCACCACCUCCUCCCCCCCUCUUCAACACCCUGUCUCCCAUCUCCAACAACAAUAUCUAGGCCAAUAACAGCGAAACCUCAAGCAAGAGAUUAUACUGUAGGCCUAAGGGGGGCGUCGCCUUCGUCUUCUAGCAAGUCAGAGCUGUGAGAAAUUCAAUGGUUAAUGGUGUCACCUUUAAACCUAACCUAACCAUUAACUUCAUAAAAGGGGUACCAUCCAUUAUUUACUGUACAAGACUGAAGUGGUGUGUGUGUGUGUGUGUGUGUGUGUGUGUGUGUGUGUGUGUGUGUGUGUGUGUGUGUGUGUGUGACCCAGAGAUAUGUAUGGUACAGGUGUAAAGACCGACAUAAGUACAGGUUAUACAGGUUACAGGUGUUACAGGUGUUACAGGUUAUAGAUAUAAAGAUAAAGGUUGUAACAUACAGUAGUUAUGUUACAUGUCAUUAUGAUGUACUUGUGGUUGUGAGUUACAGGUUGUUGUAAGAUACAUGUUGUGAGUUACAGGUUGUGAGUUACAGGUUGUUGUAAGAUACAUGUUGUGAGUUACAGGUUGUGAGUUACAGGUUGUUGUGAAUUACAGGUUGUUGUAAGUUACAGGUUGUUAUGAGUAACAGGUUCUGAGUUUCAUGUUAUGAGUUACAGGUUUUUGUGAGAUACAUGUUGUGAGUUACAGGUUGUGAGUUACAGGUUGUUGUAAGGUACAGGUUGUUGUGAGUAACAGGUUCUGAGUUUCAUGUUAUGAGUUACAGGUUGUUGUGAGAUACAUGUUGUGAGUUACAUGUGAGUUUCAUGUUGUUCUGAGUUACAGGUUGUGAGUUACAUGUUAUGAGAUACAUGUUGAGAUACAUGUUGUGAGAUACAGGUUGUUGUGAGUUACAGGUUGUGAGAUGUAUGUUGUGAGCUACAGGUUGUUGUUAACUACAGGUUGUUGUGAGGUACAGGUUGUUACGAGCUACAGGUUGUUGUGAGCUACAGGUUGUUGUGAUUUACAGGUUGUGAGUUACAGGUUGUUACGAGCUACAGGUUGUUGUGCGGUACAGGUUGUUGUGAGCUACAGGUUGUGAGAUACAGGUUAAGAUACACGUUGUUGUGAGUUACAGGUUUGAGAUGCAUGUUAUUGUGAGUUACAGGUUGUGAGUUACAGAUUGUUGUAAGUUACAGGUUGUUGUGAGUUACAGGGUGUAAGAUGCAUGUUGUGAGUUACAGGUUGUAGUGAUUUACAGGUUGUGAGUUACAGGUUGUUACGAGCUACAGGUUGUUGUGAGGUACAGGUUGUUACGAGCUACAGGUUGUUGUGAGUUACAGGUCGUUGUGAGCUAAAAGUUAUUGUGAGCUACAGAUUAUUUUGAGGUAUAUUUUGUUAGCUAAAGGUUGUCGGUUUCAGGUUGUAAGAUACAGGUUGUUGAGAGCUACAGGUUGUUGUGAGCUGCUUGUCAAAUUACAGGCCACUAUAAACUCCCACCCCAUGGUUACAGGUUAUUAACCGUUGCAGGCUACAGGUUGUUCACAAUGAUUGGAAAAAUACACAUCAUCUGUUAUCCUUAUCUAUGAACCUUUAUAAGCACUGUUAUCUUAAUACUGAACCGUUAUAAAUUAUGUUAUCUUAGCCUUGAACAUUCAGAAAUAGUCAUAUAUCUCUUAACUAUUCAUAAAAUAUGUUAUCUUAUCAGUGAACCCCCAUAAGCAGUGUUAUAAAAACCUUGAACCCUGAUAAAGAAUCUUAUAUUACACUAGAACCUUUAUUCGUGGUGAUAUGUCUUUGAACCCUUAAAAACAAUGAUAUCUUAUUAUUGAACCUUUAUAAAUGGUGUUAUCUUAUUUUUGAACCUUUAUAAACUGUGUUAUCUUAUUCUUGAAUCUCUAUAGGCAUUAUAAGAUAUGUUAGGGGAACCUUGAACCCUUAUAAAAAAAUUAUAUGAACCUUGAACCCUUAUAAACGAUAUUAUAUGAACCUUGAAUCCUUAUAAAAAAUUAUAUGAACCUUGAACCCUUAUAAACGAUAUUAUAUGAACCUUGAACCCUUUUAAAGGAUAUAUGAACCCUGAACCCUUAUAAACAAUAUUAUAGGAACCUUGAACCUUUAUAAACAAUAUUAUAUGAACCUUGAACCCUUUUAAACGAUAUUAUAUGAACCUUGAACCCUUAUAAACGAUAUUAUAUGAACCUUGAACCCUUAUAAACAAUAUUAUAGGAACCUUCAACCUUUAUAAACAAUAUUAUAUGAACCUCAAAUCCCUAUAAACGAUAUUAUAUGAACCCCGAACCCCUAUAAACGAUAUUAUAUGAACCUUGAACCCUUUUAAAGGAUAUAUGAACCCUGAACCCUUUUAAACGAUAUUAUAUGAACCUUGAACCCUUUUAAAUGAUAUUAUAUGAACCCUGAACCCGUAUAAACAUUAUAAUAGGAACCUUGAACCCUUAUAAACGAUAUUAUAUGAACCCUGAACCCUUAUAAACGAUAUCAUAGGCACCUUGAACCCUUAUAAACGAUAUAAUAUGAACCUCGAACCCUUUUAAGUUAUAUUAUAUGAACCUCGAACCCUUUUAAAUGAUAUUAUAUGAACCCUGAACCUUUAUAAACAAUGUUGUCAUAUCCUUGAAGACAUAUUACACUUAUCACAGGACUCUCACAUUGGUAGUCCAUUAAAUCAAACUUAUCCUAUAGCCUUCAAUGUACAUAAACAAUAUUGCUAUUUCUCAAACUCUCGUAAAUGCUGACACCAUCAUCCUGAAUUCUGAAAAAUGCUGAUGCCAUAAUUUUGAACUAAAUGACUAUUUUUUAAACUCUUGAUAAAUGCUGAUUAAACUCU